UACGUAGGGGCAAGCGUUGUCCGGAUUUAUUGGGCGUAAAGAGCGUGUAGGCGGUUUACAGGUCCGCUGUGAAACUCGAGGCUCAACCUCGAGCUGUCGGUGGAAACCGUAAGGCUAGAGUCCGGAAGAGGAGAGUGGAAUUCCUGGUGUAGCGGUGAAAUGACGCAGAUAUCAGGAAGAACACCCGUGGCGAAGGCGGCUCCUC
rnacentral:rRNA from 1 species